rnacentral:rRNA from 1 species
UGGGAAUAUUGGCACAAUGGGCGCAAGCCUGAUGCCAGCCAUGCCGCGUGUGUGAAGAAGGCCUUCGGGUUGUAAAGCACUUUCAGCGAGGAGGAAGGUGGUGAACUUAAUACGUUCAUCAAUUGACGUUACUCGCAGAAGAAGCACCGGCUAACUCCGUGCCAGCAGCCGCGGUAAUACGGAGGGUGCAAGCGUUAAUCGGAAUUACUGGGCGUAAAGCGCACGCAGGCGGUUUGUUAAGUCAGAUGUGAAAUCCCCGGGCUCAACCUGGGAACUGCAUUUGAAACUGGCAAGCUAGAGUCUCGUAGAGGGGGGUAGAAUUCCAGGUGUAGCGGUGAAAUGCGUAGAGAUCUGGAGGAAUACCGGUGGCGAAGGCGGCCCCCCUGGACGAAGACUGACGCUCAGGUGCGAAAGCGUGGGGAGCAAACAGAUUAGAUACCCUGGUAGUCCACGCUGUAAAACGAUGUCGAUUUUGGA